AUGGGCGGGAGCUCCCGGGAAAGUAAAAAGAGGGGCGCGCGGAGGGCGAGCUCUGGGCUUGGGGCUCCCACAGGUCGGGGAAUAAUGCAAGGAGGAGAAAAAGACAGAGCUCAGGGAUACCAGGGGACGCGGGCAGCGGCGGCUUCUUCAAGACACCGAGGGAGAAGGGACGGGAAGGGGGGUGGGGAGGAUGGUACUUCCACCCGCCCCCCUCCAGCCCGGGGGCGUGGCGCCGCCCAGGCCCUCCCACUCCCCCGGACCAUCCAGGUUGGGCCUGGCCGGGCCAGACUCGGCCCCCGCACACCUCCCGGGCCUCCGGCGCCGUCCCCCGUACCACCCGCCCCAACCGCCUCCGGUGGAGAAGGAGUAGGCGCAAGGCCCACACGUCCCUCAAACUUGUUGCAAGUUCACUCCCACGCCUCCCGCCCCUUCGACUCCCAGCUCCGGAGCCGGGAAGGCCCAUGCCCGCCCCGGCCCCUCCCGCCUGGUUACAUAAGGUCGCAGAGAAGCCGCCCCCGGCCCGGGCCUGCAGUGAGGGGCCGGAGGAGUUCCUGGGCUCGGCGGGCAGCGCCGCUCCGGCCAUGUGCCCAACGUCUCGGGCUAGACGGACAGCGGGGCGGGUGGCGGCGCGGCGCACACACUCCCUGUCCCCUCUUCAGCCGGCACCCCCAUCCACCCACCUGUCUCCCGGACCCACAGAAUCAGGGCGGGGGAGCCUGGGUCCGGGGUUCCCAGCCUUCCGCUCACCCUUUGGCCCUCGGUCCCUCUCACCUAUCUCUGAAGGUCAAUCCGUCCGCCGCCUGUCCCCCGCGGCUCCGGCAACUUGUCCCAAGUUCAGGUGUCCGGCCCGCGAGCUGCGCCUGCCGCCCCCUCCCGGACUCCUCCGGCUCCGCGCCACCGGGAAGGCCCGCCCUGCCCGCCCUUUCACGCUGCCGUCGGCGCCGCCGCCGCUCCCUAUGUCCAGCCCGCGGCCGCCGCCUCCGCUGUCACCGAGCCCCGCGCCCGGCGCCAGGGCUCCCACUGUCAAUCCGCACCCACUUCCCGCCGCGCCCGGCAGAGGGCAGCACACGCCCCCCGCGGUCCCGCCCCGCCCCGCUCCGCCCCUCGAGGGCCUACCGCGGCGCCCGCGGGGAAAUGUAG
rnacentral:lncRNA from 1 species